rnacentral:lncRNA from 1 species
CAUAGCCGCGCACGAUGCAUCUUGAGAGGGCCGAGCUUCGGGGUGGCACUAGAAUCCAUGCUCAUGAGUAUCAAUGAAGUCCUGCAAAAUUCAUAUGAACUUAUGUACUGACUUGCAGUUAUAUGAGGAUCAGGGAAUUGAAACGAAAGAAAGUUUGUUUGGUAGCGUGCAGUCCCCAAAAGCAUGAGACCGGUAGGUCUCAUUUGAUGCGAGAAUAUCCCUUCAUACAUCUGAUACAUCAGUUAAGACUUUCUCCAUGAACGGAUGCUAGCUUGUAAAACAACUGCUUAACCCUCACAAGAGAUUGGAUCAUGUGACAGAAACCAUAGGAAUGUGAAAAAUUGAGAUAGAGCAACAAAUAAGUUCAUCCAGAGAACACCACUCUCAUCCAAAAUAUGUUAUGAAUAGCAAUGCACUAGAUUAUCUGUUGUUUAUGAGAUUAUGUGACUUCAAUUAUACACCAAUUCUUUGUUAAAACAUUGAACAUAAUAAAAAGUUGAACUCACGUCAUUGCUCCAUCUACAACACAUUUUGAAAAAGGCAGUCCUAACCAAAAUUCUAGAUUCAGGGCCUGCUUCCGGUGGACCUGUGGCAUCAAACAGGCAGAAUGGAAAGAUGCUUUGUGUCUCAUAUCACAAACAUUAGCAAGAAGCACAUACUAGCAAAACUAAGAAACAAGAGAGUGAGCUUCCACCAGCAUGUGUCCGCUUAAUCCUAGGUCUGUCCCAUUUCU